GUGUCGGAUGUUUCCUCCCAUUCGUCCGGCGCGUUCCCCUCUGAAGGUUUUCGACCUUCACAUCUGGCCGGGCUUGCAGCCCGGCCUUU
rnacentral:sRNA from 1 species